rnacentral:rRNA from 1 species
CAGCAGCCGCGGUAAUUCGUAGGGGGCGAGCGUUACCCGGAUUCACUGGGCGUAAAGGGGGUGUAGGCGGCUCGGUAAGUCGGGUGUGAAAUCCCACGGCUCAACCGUGGAAUUGCGCCCGAAACUGCCGAGCUUGGGGCCGGUAGAGGGAGACGGAACUGCCGGUGUAGGGGUGAAAUCCGUAGAUAUCGGCAGGAACGCCGGUGGGGAAGCCGGUCUCCUGGGCCGCGCCCGACGCUGAGGCCCGAAAGCUAGGGGAGCAAACCGGAUUAGAUACCCGGGUAGUCCUAGCCGUAAACGAUGCCCACUAGGUGUGGGGGAGUAUUUCCUCCGUGCUGUAGCUAACGCAUUAAGUGCCCCGCCUGGGGAGUACGGCCGCAAGGUUGAAACUUAAAGGAAUUGGCGGG